rnacentral:rRNA from 1 species
AGAACGAACGCUGGCGGCGUGGAUAAGACAUGCAAGUCGAGCGGGAUUUCCGUUAGUAGCAAUACCGAAGGAAGUCUAGCGGCGAACGGGUGCUUAACACGUGGGCAACCUGCCAAGAAGUGGGGGAUAGCUCGCCGAAAGGCGAAUUAAUACCGCAUGUGAUUAGAGUGGACAUCCAUUCGAAAUUAAAGUCGGGGCAACCUGACGCUUUUUGUGGGGCCCGCGGCCUAUCAGCUAGUUGGUGAGGUAACGGCCCACCAAGGCUUUGACGGGUAGCUGGUCUGAGAGGAUGACCAGCAUCACUGGGACUGAGACACGGCCCAGACUCCUACGGGAGGCAGCAGUGGGGAAUAUUGGACAAUGGGCGCAAGCCUGAUCCAGCCAUGCCGCGUGGAUGAUGAAGGCCUUAGGGUUGUAAAGUCCUUUUAACGGGGAAGAUAAUGACGGUACCGUAGAAUAAGCCCCGGCUAACUUCGUGCCAGCAGCCG